rnacentral:lncRNA from 1 species
UUCAUUAGCAAAUUUAAUUAGGAGGGGUUAGAAGUGUAAAAAAUGCAAAUUUAAUUGUGCUAGGCUUAGUUUGGUAUUGAGCUCUAUCUGAUGUUAUUAGAUAAAAUAGAGUUGGGUAAAAAUAUAUAGGAAUAUACUUCUGCGUUUUUCGAUGUGACCGCAAAAAAUUUAUCAUAACUGACUCAUCGCGAUAUGUGGAACGCAAUAUUACGUACGGAAACAAAUAUGACAUUUUUUCAUCGUACUUUAUUGCUUACAACACGUAACAUAAUCUCCCCGCAAUAUCAAACAAAGCCUUAAUAAAUUAAUUAAGCUUUGGACAGAUGUCCUCUUUCGGAAUUUAAUUACUAAAUAAUAAUUUUUGCUAGCUAGAGUAUGAUCAGAUUUAUUAAAUUUGAUGAGAUUUAUAUAGUCAAAUAGCGAUCACAUUCAAUAAAUUUAUUAG